rnacentral:rRNA from 1 species
AUUGAACGCUGGCGGCAUGCUUUACACAUGCAAGUCGAACGGUAACAGGGAGCUUGCUCCGCUGACGAGUGGCGAACGGGUGAGUAAUGCGUCGGAACGUGCCGAGUAGUGGGGGAUAACGCAGCGAAAGUUGUGCUAAUACCGCAUACGUACUGAGGUAGAAAGUGGGGGACCUUCGGGCCUCACGCUAUUCGAGCGGCCGACGUCUGAUUAGCUAGUAGGUGAGGUAAAGGCUCACCUAGGCGACGAUCAGUAGCGGGUCUGAGAGGAUGAUCAGCCACACUGGGAGUGGGACACGGCCCAGACUCCUCCGGGAGGCAGAAGUGGGGAAUUUUGGACAAUGGGCGCAAGCCUGAUCCAGCCCUGCCGCGUGUCUGAAGACGGCCUUCGGGUUGUAAAUGACUUUUGUCCGGGAGCAAAUGCUUGUGGCUAACAUCCACCGGAGCUGAGAGUAACGGAAGAAUAAGCACCGGCUAACUACGUGCCAGCCGCCGCCGUAACAC